rnacentral:rRNA from 1 species
AGGGGAGCCGUAAGGCGAAGCCACCGAAGCAGCUGCCGAGAAAAGCCGCUAUCGAGGUCCGAGGUGCCCGUACUGCAAACCGACACAGGUAGGCGAGGAGAGAAUCCACAGGCGAGCGGGAGAACCCUCAUUAAGGAACUCGGCAAAAUGACUCCGUAACUUCGGGAGAAGGAGUGCCGAAAGGCCGCAGAGAAGAGGCCCAAGCGACUGUUUACCAAAAACACAGGUCUCUGCUAAGUCGGAAGACGAAGUAUAGGGGCUGACGCCUGCCCGGUGCUGGAAGGUUAAGGGGAAGUGUGAGAGCACUGAACCGAAGCCCCAGUGAACGGCGGCCGUAACUAUAACGGUCCUAAGGUAGCGAAAUUCCUUGUCGGGUAAGUUCCGACCCGCACGAAAGGCGUAACGACUUGGGCGCUGUCUUGAUGAGGGGCCCGGUGAAAUUGUAGUACUCGUGAAGAUGCGAGUUACCCGCGAUUGGACAGAAAGACCCCGUGGAGCUUUACUGUAGCCUGUCACUGGAUUUUGGUAAUUCUUGUACAGGAUAGGUGGGAGACGGAGAAGGUAGGGCGCCAGCCUUACUGGAGUCGGCGUUGGGAUACCACCCUGGGAUUACCGGAAUUCUAACCUAUAGCCGUGGA